rnacentral:rRNA from 1 species
GGUUCAGGAUGAACGCUGGCGGCGUGCUUAACACAUGCAAGUCGAACGAAGCAACUAUCUUGCUUGCAAGAGAGUUGACUUAGUGGCGGACGGGUGAGUAACGCGUGGGUAACCUGCCUCAUACAGGGGGAUAACAGUUGGAAACGACUGCUAAGACCGCAUAACCCGCUAGUGUCGCAUGACACGGACGGAAAAUAUUUAUAGGUAUGAGAUGGGCCCGCGUCUGAUUAGCUAGUUGGUAAGGUAACGGCUUACCAAGGCGACGAUCAGUAGCCGACUUGAGAGAGUGAUCGGCCACAUUGGGACUGAGACACGGCCCAAACUCCUACGGGAGGCAGCAGUGGGGAAUAUUGGACAAUGGGGGAAACCCUGAUCCAGCGACGCCCGCGUGAGUGAAGAAGUAUUUCGGUAUGUAAAGCUCUAUCAGCAGGGAAGAUAAUGACAGUACCUGACUAAGAAGCCCCGGCUAACUACGUGCCAGCAGCUGC